rnacentral:rRNA from 1 species
GAAAGGGAGCUUGCUCCCUGGAUUAGUGGCGAACGGGUGAGUAACACGUGAGUAACCUGCCCUUGACUCUGGGAUAAGCACUGGAAACGGUGUCUAAUACCGGAUACGAACUUCAGCCGCAUGGCUAGGAGUUGGAAAGAAUUUCGGUCAAGGAUGGACUCGCGGCCUAUCAGCUAGUUGGUGAGGUAAUGGCCCACCAAGGCGACGACGGGUAGCCGGCCUGAGAGGGUGACCGGCCACACUGGGACUGAGACACGGCCCAGACUCCUACGGGAGGCAGCAGUGGGGAAUAUUGCACAAUGGGCGCAAGCCUGAUGCAGCAACGCCGCGUGAGGGACGACGGCCUUCGGGUUGUAAACCUCUUUUAGUAGGGAAGAAGCGAAGUGUUUUACAUGGAGUGACGGUACCUGCAGAAAAAGCACCGGCUAACUACGUGCCAGCAGCCGCGGUAAUACGUAGGGUGCAAGCGUUAUCCGGAAUUAUUGGGCGUAAAGAGCUCGUAGGCGGUUUGUCGCGUCUGCUGUGAAAACUGGGGGCUCAACCCCCAGCCUGCAGUGGGUACGGGCAGACUAGAGUGCGGUAGGGGAGAUUGGAAUUCCUGGUGUAGCGGUGGAAUGCGCAGAUAUCAGGAGGAACACCAAUGGCGAAGGCAGAUCUCUGGGCCGUAACUGACGCUGAGGAGCGAAAGCAU